rnacentral:misc_RNA from 1 species
CGUGAUUCUGAUUUGGUUUAAUUCCUUCGCUGAUAAAUUCAAUUUCUUUACGUUCCACAGUAAGUUUUCGGAUUUGGGUACUAAAGUUUCCGCAGGUUCUACAAGGCCUUUGGCGAGAGAAAAUCACAAUAGAUGAUGGAGCUCGAGCCAUGAAAUAUCACAGAUUUCACUACUUCCCACUAAUAGUUUUCUUCUUCUACAGAGGCAUACAAAUGGAAUCAGCUAGGCUCCACAGCUUCAAAGGCUGUGCCAAGGGAGGAAUAGCAUGUUUGCACUACCAUGAUACACCGGUUUGGGCUUAACAAAAACACACAGCUUCACUAGUAAUAUGCAAUGCUUCUGAUAUUGGGGAAGAGACCUGAACUCGGAUGGAAACCCAUAUUCGAAAAAGGGUAGAGAGAGAGAGCAUAAAGAAAAGAAGAGGGUGCAAUUUGAUUAGAGAUGGUAAUUAAGAAGUUAAUAAGAGAAUUUCAUUAUACCUUUUUCGGCCGGGAAUUAUAGGCAGCGAAAUUAGGGCAAAGUGGAGGAGGAGGAGGAGGAGGGUACUUUGUCUGGUAGAUUCCUCCUCAGCCUACAGGAGGCGGCAAGGGCUUUAUUUAUUUUUUUUUUUUUUUUCCGCUC